AGCAGCCGCGGUAACUCCAGUUCCAAUAGCGUAUAUUAAAGUUGUUGCAGUUAAAAAGCUCGUAGUUGAAUUUCGGGGUUAGUAAGUUGGUCAUGCCUCUGGUAUGCACUGGCUUUACUGAUUCCUCCUUCUUGAUGAACUGUAAUGUCAUUAAUUUGGUGUUGCAGGGAAUCAGGACUGUUACUUUGAAAAAUUAGAGUGUUUAAAGCAGGCAUACGCUUGAAUACAUUAGCAUGGAAUAAUGAAAUAGGACGUUUGAUCCUAUUUUGUUGGUUUCUAGGAUUGACGUAAUGAUUAAUAGGGAUAGUUGGGGGCAUUAGUAUUCAAUUGUCAGAGGUGAAAUUCUUGGAUUUAUUGAAGACUAACUACCGCGAAAGCAUUUGCCAAGGGUGUUUUCAUUAAUCAAGAACGAAAGUUAGGGGAUCGAAGACGAUCAGAUACCGUCGUAGUCUUAACCAUAAACUAUGCCGACUAGGGAUCGGAUGAUGUUAUUUUUAAUGACUCAUUCGGCGCCUUAAC
rnacentral:rRNA from 1 species